rnacentral:rRNA from 1 species
AAGGGCACCACAAGAACGCGUGGAGCAUGUGGCUUAAUUUGACUCAACGCGGGAAAUCUUACCGGGUCCGGACACACUGAGGAUUGACAGGCAAUAUUAAUACGUUAACUAUCCGUAGCUUUUACGUAUUAUGUUAAAUAUGCUAGUCCUUUCAUGAUUAUGUGAUAGGUGGUGCAUGGCCGUUCUUAGUUCGUGGAGUGAUCUGUCUGCUUAAUUGCGUUUCACUAAGGGCUUAUAAAUUUACGUGUGUUGCGGCACUUUGACCCCUUUCAAUUUAUUUUGAAAGCGCGUGUCUUAGUUUGCUUUGCUCACACAAUUAAGUCCUGAAAGCAACGAACGUGACCGCAACCUCUUGUUGCCUUUAUACCAAACAUGUUUAUUUUCGAGUAUUCAUGAAAAAAGGCUUUUUAAACUAGAGGGACCGCUGUUACUUUCUUAAACCAGAGGAAGGUUGCGGCAAUAACAGGUCUGUGAUGCCCCUAGAUGUUCCGGGCUGCACACGUGCUACAAUGAUUAUUGCAGUGAGCAUCUCAUUUUUACACACCGCAUGCGCGAGUCCAUUUAUUCGACUCCUCGGAGCUGUUUUAAAUGUGUAUCUCUGCGCGCGGUAAAGCCUGCUUCGAAAGUAAGUGGGUAAUCAAUUAGAAGUAAUGAUUUCCGUAUUUAGCACACAUAUAUACGGCAUCUUUACCCGGGUUACCUUGUUGUAACUUUUGUGCGUAUCGAUGUUUUUUCCGUAUGUGCGAUUGUCAAUUCAUGGUGGGGACAGACCAUUGUUAAUUGUUGGUCUCGGUCUUAACUAGGAAUGCCUUGUACGGGUCUUUGGUUCAACAAACCACCCGGAAUACGUCCCUGCCCUUUGUACACACCGCCCGUCGCUCUUACCGAUGGACUUCUCUGUGAGUUUGAGGGACUGGGAACGCAGAAAAUUUAUUUUUUCUCGCACGCCGAAGGAAACUUAAACGAACAGUGUGGUCCAAAGGAAAGAGAAGUCGUAACAAGGCAUCGGUGGGUGAACCUGCAGAAGGAUCA